GUCAAUUGAGUUCAGCUCGGUAUGAACGUAUACCAAAUUAUUGAUCUUCAAUAUUCCUUGGCAAAACAUUGCUGGCGAUAUGAGGGCAAUGAUUUAAACUCCAGCUAUCGACCAACCUAGAAAGAUGUGGAAGAUAUCGAAAUCGUUCAACAGGACUGUUACACCCUGAACCAUGAGCGAAAUACUGACGAUUACUCUGGCCCUAUCUGGCACGAUACUGGUUGGGACAGUCAUCAGCCUGGUCAUCAUAGCCGCAGUCACCAGAAUAUGUUAUCCGCCCAAAGAUGAGGAGAAAAACGAAAAAGAUUCCAAUCAACGGCAGUCCAGGCUGGGAAAAGUAGGCGUGAACAAUUCUGAAGAUGAGGUAGCAAUCGUCGAAGAAUCAUAUGCGCCUGAUCGAUCGGGUCCUUCGGAUUCAUUUUCCCCAACGACCACAGUGACCCAUGGCGCAUCAUCAUCGUCACCAGUGUAAACAAACAUAUUCUGGAUGACUGGAACGUGACGCACUGCGAUUUGUCAGAUCUUUUCCAGAUGACGAAUCAGAUUACGUCUUGACAAACAAGGCUCUGAGACAACAGCGUUCUUCAACGAGCUUUUAAAGGGACAAAUUGGACAUGAGAGAUGUUGAUUUUUGGGGGGAAAUGGCCCCCAGCAGGACUGUGACUUCUCCAAACAGGAUCAUUGAAAAUCAUUGAACUGGAAUUUAAACACUUCAACGGAAAUUAUAGGGUCACCAGAUAUUCGCAAGCCAUGUCCAAAAUUGCCUCACAACACUUGCGGAAAUUAUUAUUACAGAUCAGCAUUAGUGUGGCGCUACACGUGGCGGCGCAUAGUGGCGAGUUGGCACAUUAUCCUCCAGGCAGCUUAAAUCCAACGCCCAAGUUGUCCCUUUCUGAAAAGAUCGCUUCUGGUGCUAUCACACGGGCUGCUGUCAAAGACGAAAUCGGAACAUGUACUGCGCGCCUGUAAAAGGAAUCAGACUGGGAGAAUAUAUCAUGGGACGGAACAAUCUCCUUUUGGACGGUAAUCCUGCUACAGCGGUAACGAGUGCAGUGGGCAUUUUCAUGUCAUUGUUUUUUUCAGAAGGAGAUGGGGCGGGGGG